rnacentral:rRNA from 1 species
AUCUAUGACCUUACCACCUUGAAUGUACCCAGUAUCAUUUGAUCUCAGAAGCUAAGCAGGGUCAGGCCUGGUUAGUACUUGGAUGGGAGAUGUCAUGUGAACUAGAAUUUAUGGGGA